GAUCAACGCCGGCGGCAGGCCUAACACAUGCAAGUCGAGCGAAGCCUUCGGGCUUAGCGGCGGACGGGUGAGUAACGCGUGGGAACGUGCCCUUUGCUACGGAAUAGCCCCGGGAAACUGGGAGUAAUACCGUAUGUGCCCUUCGGGGGAAAGAUUUAUCGGCAAAGGAUCGGCCCGCGUUGGAUUAGGUAGUUGGUGGGGUAAUGGCCUACCAAGCCGACGAUCCAUAGCUGGUUUGAGAGGAUGAUCAGCCACACUGGGACUGAGACACGGCCCAGACUCCUACGGGAGGCAGCAGUGGGGAAUCUUAGACAAUGGGGGAAACCCUGAUCUAGCCAUGCCGCGUGAUCGAUGAAGGCCUUAGGGUUGUAAAGAUCUUUCAGUGGGGAAGAUAAUGACUGUACCCACAGAAGAAGCCCCGGCUAACUCCGUGCCAGCCGCCGCCGUAAUAC
rnacentral:rRNA from 1 species